ensembl:lincRNA
CACCCGGACUUGGAAAGGCGGUGUUCCCCCCUUUCGCGAGGAGGGAGGCAGGGACUUGCAGGCAAGAGUUGCACCUGGUCUAGGAACCUGCAGAGAAAAGAACUCUGGGGAGAAGAACGGCCCCGGAGCGCAGCAGCCACCCUCCGACCAUGCCCCGGUGAGGGGGGCGGACUUCGAGGGCAACUUGCCGCGGACUGCCUGGGCUUAGCCAGCGAGCUACGCGCUCCCGGGAGCCCGGAAUUGCACGGCGCGGCCCGGCGGGGGGCUAUCGUCUAUGUCUUCUUGGGGCGCCAGGCGAAUCGGGGUCUUGUUUUUGCUGGAAGAGCCCAGUGUUGGUGGCUUCAGGUGGCUGCCGCCGCCGCCGCCGCCGCUAGUGCGGUUUCCGCUGCUGGUGCGAAGAGAAGAGACACGCGAGCGGGGAGACCUCCGAGGCAGCGAGGCAUCGGACAUGUGUCAGCACAUCUGGGGCGCACAUCCGUCGAGCCCGAGGGGAGAUUUGCCGGAACAAUUCAAACUGCGAUAUUGAUCUUGGGGGUGACUGUCCCUGGCCGGCUGUCGGGUGGGAGUGCGAGUGUGCACUCGCUCGGAAGUGUGUGCGCGUGUGUAUGUGUGUGUGCCGUGUCGGGCUCCCCCCUGCCCCCCCCUGUUUUCCCGUCGAGUGAUGCACUUGGAAUGAGAAUCAGAGGAUGGAAAUAGUCUGGGAGGUGCUUUUUCUUCUUCAAGCCAAUUUCAUCGUCUGCAUAUCAGGUACGGGACGCGCCGAAGUCACUGGCUGAUUUGGGUUAUGUUGUGAUGUUUGGGGUGUAUGGGGUUUUAUUGUAUGUAGCCGCGGGGCGGAGAGGGGGGUGGCGAGACCCUUUCAGUUCUGCGGGUUUGCCGCCUUCAGAAUCAAAAUCCUUCUCAGCCCAAGGGUGUCUGAAUGUGUGUGUGGGUG